GCCGGGUGUGGUGGCGCACGCCUGUAAUCCCAGCUACUCAGGAGGCUGAGGCAGGAGAAUUGCUUGAACCCAGGAGACGGAGGUUGCAGUGAGCCGAGAUCAUGCCACUGCACUCCAGCCUGGGUGACAGAGUGAGACUCUGUUU
rnacentral:sRNA from 1 species